rnacentral:misc_RNA from 1 species
AAUGCAUUUGUCAGUAAACUGCGUGGAAUCCGUGUACAGGCAGAGUGGGCAUUUGUGUGAUUUCAAUUCAUCAGAUCACAAUAUACACAUAUUUUCUCAAUUUCCUUUAUCCUCCUCCAUCAAUCUGAUUGCCUAUAAAUAAAGAACCACCCUCCAGCCACUUCUCCUCACCAGAUCACGAUCAAAGAAACAAUACCCAUUUUUUCAAAACAAGAGGGAGAGAGAAAAUGUCAGGAAUAAUGCACAAGAUUGAGGAGACCCUCCACAUCGGAGGAAACAAGAAGGAAGAACACAAGGGGGAGUCUCAUGGAGAGCACAAGGGUGAGCACCAUGGAGAACACAAGGGUGAGCACCAUGAAGGCCACAAGCCAGAAGGUGAGCACAAGGAAGGGUUCAUGGAGAAGAUAAAAGAUAAGGUCCAUGGAGAUGAGCAUGGCGAAGGUCAUGAGAAGAAGAAGAAGAAGGACAAGAAGAAGCAUGAGCAUGGCCAUGAACAUGGUCAUAGCAGCAGUGACAGCGACAGUGAUUAGAUCUCUUCAUAUACGUAUCCAUUAUCUAGGUGUACUGGAGUGUGAGAACCUAUCCAAGUUUUUUUUUUUUUUUUUUUU